CCUAAAACCACCAAAUAGUUUUCCUCCUGCGCACGGCCAUGCGUACUGAAAAGGAGAAAGGCUUCAGAAGAAGUUACGCGUUUCCGAGUGACCUCGCCGAGAGAAAAAGAAACGUUUUAGCACAGCUUGGGACUGAAUCUUAACGAGGAGCAGAAAGAUUGGCGCCUUUUAUCACCCAUACACAGUUUCCACCGCAAGCUAGUUGGUUACUCACAGACUUUUUCGGGGCAGUGAGGAGCGGAGACAGGAGAGCAGCGGUUCGCCAGCUCACGAACCCCCGGGCAUUGCACAGAGGCAGCUGUGACAUGGGGGUCACUAGCACUGGACCAAAAGAUCUGUGCGCAUCUCACAAAACGGGCAACUAAACCCCGCGUCAUUUCGAGCCAAACGCCUGGUGGUUUUUUGGAGCCCUUUUCCAUGUAGGUUUCCCCUGCACAGGAUCUCAGCGCUGAUGAGCGAAACGGGCUUCACUCGCGAUAUUCAUCGAGAGGAGACACGAGCGGGAAACCAGGAGCGAGGCCGCAGGCGAGAGGGAUGUCAGGGUUCAGAGGAGCGGGCCGGGCAGCGCACCCGCGAGGAUGCUGGGGCCGCGAACCUCCCCAGCCUGCCGGGAUGCGGGGAAGUCACGCAACUUCCCAGACCGCCCCCCCGGCGGCCCUGCACCGGACAGAGAGGCCUCGCCCGGGAUGAGACGGCUCCGCUGCACCGCCCAACCCGCCGAGGUAAAACGGGACUGUCCCUGAGCGCAGCUUGGGUGCGGUUCGCGAUCUCCGGCGGCCGUCGGGGCGGAGAUGCCACCAGCUUAGCUUGGCUCGGCUCGGCCGGGGGCGGCUCACCCGGGUCCCUGUGGGUGCGGAUAGUUUUCGCGGCGGCUGGCGACACCGCCCGGGUCUCCUCCCCUGCGGAGUAGCCGCCUUCUAGGCUUACCCAACGGAGGACGAGCUCCCUAGAAGUGACUCCGGAAUCCCCGGGAGAUCUCAUUAAAACGGUCAGGACGAGUAAACAGGCGUCCUCCCGGAGUGAAAAACCCAGCGUUAGAUCGCGCCGCGGGCCAGGGGCUGAGAGGAGCUGGGCCAGGCCGCGGGGCCGCACCGGGCUGGCGCGCUGCGGAUCGGGCUCCGGCCAGACCGAGCCAAGCCUGGGGCCUGUUAGCGCGGGGAAGGGGAGCGAUAUCCGACGGAUGCACGGAGCCGUCGGGGCGUCAAAAUGCCCUUGGCCCCGAGUCAGGUGGGAGGGUUGGGCGGGGAGGCGGCGGAGGGGAAGGCGGAGGGGCGCCGAGCGCAGCGGCGGAGCCGCCGUCCGUCCCACCCGACGGCGCCCGAGGACACACGGUUGCGGGACAUGCGGCGCUGCCCGCGGGCGCGCAACCGGUGCAGACCGUGCGCUCCGCGGCGCCUAACCCCACCGGCACCAACCGACUCCCCCCGGCGGUACGACCCCCGGCCCGGGGAAGUCCUGGAAGCCCAGGCGCACGGUCCGCGGAGGAGCAGAGGGGACAGAGAUGUAACGGCGCCCUAAUCCCCGACACUGCAGAGGAAAUGUCGCUGUGCGCCUCACUCGCGCUGACGGGAGGGACGGAUGUCACCCUCUGCAAAACCGGCGCGCCCUGGAGUUUUGCUAGCUCCUCCCCUCCCCCCUUCCCGAAGGUAAGAUAGAGAGAUUAAAAUUUUGCCUCCCACAGGGACUGCCCGAACUUCGCAGUUGCCGGACCCGUUUGCGACCCCGCUGUGAGUGCGCGCACCGCGUCCCGGCUCACCUGCGCGGCGGCGGCUAUUCCUCGGCGGGGUCCGGCUCGGCGGCGGUGGCUCCUGGCGAGGCUGGGGCUCUGCGGGGCUCUGCCCGGCGGAUCACUCUGCGGAGCGGGUGGCGUGGGAGCCCGGAGUUGCCUUGGAGUCCAUAGAGAGAGAGUCUCGGAGCCUGCCUACAAAUUGCAGCAGCGCCGAGCUGUCUCCCAUUUAAAUGUCUGCCAGCUGAGAUCUGCUCUCCAAGCCCCUCCAGAUCAUUGGACAAGCGCCUCCAAAGCCCGUGUUAUCCGCCCCCUUUAACACUUCCAUAAACUUCCACCAGGGAAAGCUUUCAGUCAUCCAGAUAAACAUUCGACUACUUUCCUCUCUUAAGAGAAUCGGUGCUAAAGGUCACCACCCCAAGGAAUUGUUCCUGGAAUGCACAGAAAAUUCACAUUUUCCAUCCCCAUUAAAGUAUGACAUUUAAGAAGAGUUAAAUCCCUCCUCUCCGCCCCCCGCCGCCGCUGCCCUUCCCUUCACGCUGCCCAGGGCCGCGAGCUGGGCCGCUGGGGCACUUCCCUGCCCAAAAGCCACCCGGGCGAGCGGUCCCACAGCGGAGCCGCCGCGGGGAGCCCCUUACCAUGGCCCGGAGGGAGGCAGCCACCUUUCCGGCCCUCCCUGUUAAAAUUGGACAUUGAUGAGGUUUGCCUUCUGCAAAUACGCUGCGAAUUACACAGCUUUGGCAAAAAAGCCCUGUGUGUAUGUGUGUGCAGGGGGGGGGUGUUAAACCGUGGCUCCCGAUUCGCAGCCGCGCGCAUAGCUCUUUAUCAGUGAGAGUUUUUUUGUUGGUUUGGUUUUGUUUUUGUCCAACGAGAGGCGGGCACCUCGGGUGGCUUUUCCCCCUCCUUCACUGCGUUUUUCAGAGGGCUGCGGGCUUCCCAGGCAUCCCGCGAAGGGCAGAGAUGGGGAAGGAGCGGUUCGUCCCGCGUGGGCUAAGCGCGGAGGCGGCCGGAGCCGCCCGCCCGUCGAGGCUGCCGCGGGGGGAGUCAUCGAGCCUCUCGCCGGCCGCUCGCAGGUUGCUGCUCCGGAGUCCGUAGGCAAGGCGGCCGCGAUGCCCGGACCAGCCCCCAUGGAAUCACAGAAGUCGCUCGGAGUUGGGCAAAAACGAGCCGGGGACUGACCGCCUUCGUGAUCUGAGCCCUUCGCAGCUGUAACCGAGGGUGGCCGCUCCGCGGCUGCCCGGAACUUACUCCGACUCUGCAGCCAGUUGGGAGAUCCGGGGGGCAGAGCCUUGGGGGCGAGGGCGCCUGCCAGUCCCACAGCGGCAGCCCACAUCUCGGCCGGUGCCGCCCGGCCUCCAGGCGCUCCAGCACUCGCGCUCGCGUCCUAUGGACUUUUUAGCAUGACGUGUUGCAACGCUACCGAGCAGGAGCAACCUCUGAAACACGGGGUUUGAGUUUGCUAAAUAAACUGAGAUGUUUGUCAGCUGCCGCUUCCAGUGGUGGGCAUCACCCAGCAGAAGGUGAAGCAAAGAGACGUGCCCUGCAAUGGACCCAGGCAGUGCAGACGGUGCUGCAUGCAUUGUCUGGUUUGUUCUGACUGCCAGACACGAAUUACUGACUGCGAAGCAAAUCAGCCCCACACCUCAGUGACCCAGCCCUGGUAGUCAGCACUCACCUGGGGCCUCAGAGAGGCCUGUAUCUCACCUGACAAAUAGAGAUUUUCGUUGUCCCUGGUUUUGCAGGUGGGGAAGAUGAAUUGCAUUUAAACGACAGGAUCUGCUACAUUAGUGAUGCCAGGUUUCUGAUUUUUCACAGUAAUUAGCAGCAGCUUGCUCUUCACUAAGGCCAAAGCAUGACUCCACUUAGGGCCAGUUACAUGGGUGAGUUCUCAGCAAGGUAGUGAAUUAGGCUUGUUGCUGUAACUUACACAUCCAUUUAGUAAUAACUUGUUGAAAAUGAAUCACUUUAACUACUUGACCAACAGCAUGCAGAAAUGUUGCAGAAGCAACAGGGCAAGCAACCAUAGUGCAGUAGUAGGUGGCAGCAUGAGAGAGAAAAUGUGUUGGUGUGCAGGGGUCACUGAAAUUCAAAUACAAUGAACGGGGGAAGGAUUAUUGGCAAAGAAUCACAGCAGAUGACAUCUAGAUGGAUGGAAGGAGAGGCCUAGGGAAUUUUUAGGAUUUUUUGUUAUUUUACUCAAAAAAUUGCGGUUAAAAUUAAUAGAUGUUUUUAAUUAACUGGGGUCCUUCCUUUGUGGAUCUGGAGAAAAAGUUACAAUUCCCACCUCGCAGUAUGCUGACAGAAUUUAUGCUCCUUUUUCUUCUGCUAAGUAGUUGUACUGACGUGUAGGGACGGGGUCUAUUGACCUCCCUUCUGUGGUCUGUCUCUCACUCUGAUUACCUGCCCUGGAGCCAGGUUGAUGGGCUGGGAGUCUGCCCCUUUCCCAGGGCCACCGUCCAGGCAUUUGGUGCUGGAGGAAGUGUUCCUGUGGUUGCUUUGAGCUCCUCUUGGUGCCCCGCAAUGGCGCUGGCAGUGCUUGCACUUCCAGGCAUUGCUGCAAGCCUGCAGACAAGCUACUUCUCUGCUGUAUUUUUCUGGGAUUAGUUUAGAUGCCCCUCUGACAUUGGCCUUUCUAGAUGAAGGUACUUCUGGGCAUCUGGUUUGCAGAGCAGUCAUCUCCAUUCAGUACCUCACUGCACUUGAUCACCUAGCCAGAAUGACUAAUCUGGAGUAGACCUCAGGCUGACUUAAAGCAAACUAAGAAACCCUUUACGGUGCAUCUCCAGGUCUGGGAGGUGUGUUCCCUCCUCAAGACUUCUCUCCAUUUCUUGUGGCUGAAUGUUCUGCAUAUUUUCCCAUCUGUUUUCUUUCACUCAGUUUAACCCACAGAGUUUCAAGUAGGCACUACCGUCCUAGGUCCAACAAGACAAUUUGUCAGACUUCUCUGAUCAUUGCAAAGUAGAAUUUUCAUGUAAGAGUUUGCCUGCUUAUUCAGAAAAAAAAAAAAAAAACAAAACCCAACCAAACAAAACUUGUUGGGUACCAACAAGGUAAAUAAUUGUAGGUGUAUCUGCUUCCUUGGACUAAAGGAGAAUAGCAAUAUAUUUUUUUUUUUAAAAAAAAGUCUUGUCAAAAAGCAAGAAACAUUUGUGUCUGUUUCUUCAUAGUUGAGGGAGGUGGGGGAAGAUGUCUUUUUCCUCAUUGUUUUUUUAACAUCAGGUAUCCAGGUAAUUUCCAGUGUGGGAGUUUGUGUUAUUUUAAUUGCUGGAUUCUUUAACAAAAUACUCCCUGAGUUUACUCCAGAGGUUCAGCUGUGCUGGUCAGAUCCCAACCAAAGAUGAUGUUCUGGUAUGUUCUGGCUUUAAAAGCCCCCACUGCUUAAGAGAAAAUAUCUCCCCUUCCUCCCACCUUACUCACACUUGAAAUUCUGUUGGUGCUCACCAGUGCUGCUAAUUGAAGCUGGAAUACUGCUGGGAAGUUUUAUAUAAUUAUUUAGUAUAAAAGAAGCCUACAGGAAUAUGCGUAUUUUUGUGGCGUACGUUUGAGACGAAGAGCUUCAAUGUCACAGGGUGGUAAGAGCAUUUACUGUGAACCUGGCUGGAUUCAGCUAUCCACUCGCUGUUGUUUUGUUGGACUAUUUAUUUAUUUAUUUAUUUAUUUAUUUAUUUAUUUUAAUUUCAAAUUUCCUCUCCCAUUUCUUGCUGGUAUUCACUGUGUGAGUGCUCCUUUGUUUUAGUGGAACAGUAAGAAUUGUUUUAAGCUUAAAAGAAGUGCUGUACUUAAUUCUUGCAGAGAAAAACGUUACUGGACUGAGCUCCUGUCUGCUACUGCUAACUUACAGCACUACUCAAUAUAUCCUCGCUGCCAGGACAGUUGGCGCCUUAUUAAAAGCUUUUGCAGAGAAGCCAAAGACUGACAAGGGCCAGAUCCUCCUCUUGAGUAAAUCGGAAUAGCUUAUAAUAACUUCAGGGAGAUGUAACUGAUCUAUGCCAGCUGAGAAUCUGGCCCUAAUAUACCUAGAAAUCCAAUGUCUCUCACCCCUAGACAUGUUCCUCCAGGUCAGAAGUAAGGUAAGACGUUCGGGAGAGACACAGCACAUCUGAACUGCUUUACUUGAUAUUUUGAACUGUUCUGCUACGGAGAGAGAAGAGCUUGGUUUACAGGGCUCUGAAUCUGGCACUAAUUUGCAGAGGAAGAACUAAAAGGAUACACAGAAUCCAGUGACUGAGGACAAAAUCUCUCAUGUUUUCAGUGCUUUUUGUAUGGCAGCGAUGAGAUGUUUACUUUCUGUUGGUAACAUUCAAGAAGAGUAAAGCCAAACCACUCAAUGUAUUUUAAAGCAGAAAAGACAAACCUAUGCAACUACAUACUUAACUACCAGCAUGCCUCAACCCCUUGUUAAUACAGAUGUUGUGAUGCUUUGUUGUGCUUUUUGCCCUUUAGAAUUCCAAUGGCGCUCAUGAAAAACUUGUGAAAAUAAGGGAGUGAAGUGUUAAGGAAGAAUCUGUAUCACUGACACAACUGUAACUUUACUUAUGGGACUUGUAACAAGGCCAUAAGCAAGUGCUGACUUCCGCCGCAGUCUGCUGCCAUCCUGGAGGGGGAUUUGAAGCUGACCAGCAAAGGCAUGAGGUGAUGAAGGUUGUUAUCUAAUGCAAAUUUUGCAGGACAUGGUCUCAGAUAUCAGAGGUAUCUCCACGUUACGGUGAUUCUUGAGCUUCUAGUGGUGUACGCUGCUGAUCUUCCUGAUUUGAUGGGCAAGAUGAGCAGUGUCUCAGAAGUAAUUAAUGACUUCGUGCAUAAGCAAGGUCACAGGUAGUGUGUGUUGGAUGGGCUGUGGAUGGAAAUGAUCCACUGUUACAUUCUUGCCCAGGUGUGGGAUCUUCUUUUCUUUACAUAGGAAAACAAACAAAAAAAACCCACCACCACCAAAAAAACAAACAUAUUUUGUCAUACAGAAGUAGUGAUACUCAAAGAAUCCAGUUCUCUGUGGGGUUUAGGUACAUCCAAAAGUAGUGGACAAAAAGCCUUAUGAUAAACCAAGAAGGAAAAUGAGUUUUCACUUAUUUCAAACCUAACUAGGUGGACAGUAACAAAUGGCAUAAGAUGAGAGAAGGAGAUGUUUUGAGCUUCAGUUUCAGGAUACUCUAUUAACACACCAGUCCUAUGGUUCUUGUUCAUGUACUCCGCUAUUUAUUCUAUCGCACAUUAUCGUAUGAAAAGUCCCUCAUUUAAAUAGCAUUGUACUUCACAUCAAGCCAUAUAAAGUAAUACCAGAAAAGGCUGAAGUUAGUCUUAAAUGAGAUAAAUUUCUCAUAAACUUUUAAAUUUUCUCAUAAACUAGAAAUAUCAAGCUUAAGACUGUGUUUCACUUCAGUAAAAUUCUGAUUAAUUAAAGAAUUUUAAUCUUUCUCUUAUUUGAGUUUGAGAAUUAAUGUCCAUGUGGCAGAAUUUCCACCCCACAGACUGACAAGAAAGAUUUGGAAAAUGUUGUACUCAUUGAAAAAGCAGUAUUUAAGUGGACAGAACAUAAACAUUUUAAUGUAUAGGUUUCCAUCAGCUGAAUGAGAGAAAAUUAAGUAAGGGAAUAGGUUUAUUUUGGGAUUGGAUUUUUUUUUAGUGAAAUAUUUUUAUUUUUUUAAAUUUCUAAAUAUUACUUCAUCUAGCAAUAAUUUGCUAAUGUUCAGAAAGAGGACACAGGAAAUCAAAAGAAUAAGUGGGUUCAAAACAAAAGCUUUAAGCAUCUAAAUACUUUAAAAGUCUGGGAUCCCACUCUGAAAAGUAUGGUGUCGUGGUAUGUCUGAAAAGCUUUCUUUUUUAGCAUAUAUUACAUACAGAGUCAGGCUGUGGGCUUGUAAUGAUCUCUGCACCUAUGAGCCAUGGUCACCCACCAGCAUUCCACUCUGCUAUGUGUUGCAGACAUAGAACAAAAAAUAUGUUUUCUGGCCUCAAAACACCUACAUGUAUAAUACAAUCCAUAUGUGACUAGUUUUCAAAAGUGAUUUAGAAAAGCUUAUUUUAUUAGGAUGACGUUUGACUGCUGGACAAAUAUAAACUUUCAUGCCAAAUGAGGAAAAAUCAUUUGUCAAGCUAACCUUUUUAUAACUCUUUUCACAAUUUUUUUUUGAUGCAUCUUAUAUAUUUGAUGGCUAUAGAGGAAUUUGCCAAGAAAAUGAAAGCCAUAAAAUACCCAUGAAAAAUUCCUCUGCCCUCAUGCAUUUGCUUUUCUUUUUCUUCUGUCUCAUGAAGCUGUAGGAGGUGUUUGCUGACAUGCUUUGCUUUCGGGGCAGCUCAGGAGCAAUGUGAUACAAGAAGCAAAUCAGCUAAGCAAACUAAGUCUGUGUGAGCAUAAGAAACCCUUAUAGUCUGAAGUUGUAACCGGGAAUUAGGAAAGGAGGCAUCUAAGGAGCUCGAUGUGUUAUUUGCUUACAUAUUUCACUCCAGGGAUACAACAGCUAUUAAAUGUAGUUUCCAGUUAUGCUGCAAAACUGAAAGACUCCCUUCCCACACCUUACUGUGUCCUGACAUCUUAGACAGAUUACAUACACUUUUAAGACAGGUAUAGAUAUCUCAUACAUAGUUCUGGCAAAACAGUCACUUCUACUCCUUUCUUGUAAUGAUGAAAGACAGUUUGUUGUUGUGUAACUGCCUGUAACUUGGGAUAUAGCCUGGAAGAGGAGAGCUUCCUCAUCCUUGCAGUGUGGGGGCUUCUGUGCAACACCUAUAGAGCGUCUGAUGUCAGCCUAGUAUGUAAGGUAGACAGCUGGAAGUUCAGAAGUUUAGGCUUUUUUCCUGACUUUGCCACUUACUGCCUGCAAUGAAAUAGAAAAAGAGUAGGAGAGCAAGGUAGCCUAUCUUAUUACGUAAGAAGAUUUGUAAGGCACUUCCCCCCCCCCCCCUUUUCAAAUUUAAAAUCUUAUCUGUUCUUUUUGUUUUUCCUGGCAAUAUCCGGGUAAAAGUGGAGUACUAGAUAAAAAAGUAGCUUUGCAGGAAAGAAAGAGCUGAAGCCCUUUUUUGGCUGAGACAACAACUUCUUUAGAUUUUGUAGAAGUUUUGCAUUUUGUGUUUGAAAUCCAGUGUCACACAAAUGGCUGCUGUGUUAUGGGAAGAAAAGAACUCUGUUGAACAGUUGUACUGCUCCAGGAUGGGUUCAUCCACUUCUCAGGUGGGAAGAAACAGAACUCUUCCUCACUGACAUUUUUUAUUUAUUACAGAUGGCGUCUAUGUCAAGAAGAAGAGGUGAAAGAGGCACAAGUGUACCUCAGCGCCCCCCUUCAUCCGUUAUACUGUUUCAUACACACUGAUUUUCUCUUGACACCAUUUCCCCACCUACAAAACUACAAUAGGGAGCAGAGUUUUCAAAGGAGACAGAACAAUUUUGGCCUAAAUCCUUAAAGCUGGUUUGGUACCAAACUUCCCAUUAAAUAAAUAGUCAAUAAGAGGAGUUGAGAGUUUGACUUAAUCUGGCAAGAUAAAUCAUAGUUUUUUUAACUUUCACCUAUUUUAUGUCUACAUGCUCAAAUGCAUCCAUUUUGAAAUUUCUAAAAGCUUUUAAAGGGGAAGAAGGUCUUUUAACUUCUGCAAUUCUUCAUGAUAAAAAACCAAAACAAAACAAAAAAAUGAAAACCAAAACAAAACCAAACAUAUUUCCAGUGAAAAAGCCAAGUUUUCACUGUGGUGGACAAAAAAAUCUAAAGGCAGACAAAGAAGUGUUAAACCAGUUGUGGUUAUCUAAAAGAACUCCUGAAGAUAAGGCUCCAAUUUAGCAGUCUUUGUUGAUUUGAAUAGGAUUUUUAACUAUAUCCAUAAAUGCAAACAGUUAAGUGCUUUGGUAAGAAAGGUGGACUUAUCCACGUACUUCAUUUUUUUACUAAACUUAGAUUUGGAACUGAAUCCUUCAGGGACUUGCCAGAUGUUUGACUUUGUUUUCAGUGGGGCUAUUUGAAACAUAUAAAAUGAAGCGCACACAACAAUCCAAGAGGCUUGAGUCACAUGAGCCUUUCUAAAAGACCCAAAAAUAAUUUAUAUAUACAUUUUUCCUCUGUUAAAGGGCAUUCUAUUUUAUGUGCAUAUUAGAAUGCUGAACUUUAUGAACUUAAGAAUUAAAAGUACAAUCAAUAAUAAUAAAAUACAAAAAUAAUCUAUUUUUUAUCUGUAUGGUUACCAAAAAUUUACUCUUUCAAAAAUUGCCAAAAAAAAUCACUUCUGGGAAACUACACAGGCGAGCCUAGGGCCAAAUCUCUUGUCUUGAUAUUGCCAGCUGCUCUGUUUUGCUUCUUCUGUUUCCUUGUCAAAAGUAUCCUGUUUAGCAAGUUUGGCUAAGGGUAGUUGGAUAUUUAUUCAUUGAUCUUUCCCUUUCUUACAGUAUCUUGAAUUCUAAUUAACGUUUUUCAAGUCAUUUUACUUUGUUCUCCAAAUAUAGCUACAACAGACAUCAUUCUUCCCUGGUUUGUGGAGCUCUUCAGAGACACAGAAGAGCUGUCAUCUUAUGUUUUGGGACUAACCACAGUGCCCAGCUAUUCUGCAUUGGUUGUUUGCCUUUGCAGCUCAAUUAAAUAAUCUUUUUUUUUUUUCUUUCCCCCCCCCCCCACAAAUAAUGUGCAAUUCAAAAUGCCUGGAAAAGUGUAAAAUUGCUUGUGUAAAAUUGCUUGAUGUUAGGAGAGAUUCUGAAAAUAGGCUCGGAAGCAAUCUUCUAGGUGUUUGUAAUUAAUCAGGCACCAAACACUUGGAGAUUUUGGAUGCACUUUUAAAAAGUUUAAAAAUGUAAACAGUUUUCUUUCCCCUCUCCAGAAAGUUUUAAUGCAGUAAAGACGUAAGCGAAGAAGUUAAAUCAUGAGUGACCAAAUCAGUUACAUCUGAGAUCAGACUGUGGCUGGGCUCUUUGGUUCUCAACCAGAUGGACCUAAUGUCCUUGUGAAGGAGGUAUUAUUUCUUGUCAAGGUUUCAAAAUGAACAUAUGAAUUCACAGUAAAAGUUACAUAUUUUUCCUUUUGAAAAAUGUAAUAGAACAUUUAGAGGAAAGAAUCUUUGGGAGAUGGCGUCAUCAAAAGCUGUCAGACAUGCACCAAAAAAAAACCCAACCUUGUUCUUCUGAUCUGACCAAAGAGAAAACAGAAAUGAACAGGAUAUUUUUUUUUCCUGUGUUGUGAGGCAGAGAAGAAAUCCUCCUUUUUAAUAAAGCAAAUUCUUGGAUUCAGAGUUAAUUGCUUCUUUUGGCUAUGCCUUUUCUGUAGGCUGAAGUUUUUGCACGGAGACAGCUAUCAUCAUGUAAAAAUGUACCAGAGACACGGUACAGUUGUUUUUAGCUUGAUGUAAUUAGUUGAGAUAAAUCCAGGUGAGGGCACAAGCUAUCUGGAGGAAGAAAGCACUUUUCUAUCCAACAAAGAUGGUACAAUUUGUUUAGAAAGCCUCUGCGCAUUAGUGGGGAGGUAACUACUGUAAUCAAGCAUAACAAAAAUAGUUUCCUAAACAUAGAAAAAAUACCAUAACCAAAUGGGACUUUUUCAUUUCUAAUUUAGAGAAGUGCUUUGAAAGACCAAAUACUUUUAUGUUUUCGUAUUUCAUAUCAAAUUGUUUGUUUUAUCUGGGGUCCAGAUCCCUCUUGGUUUCAGUAUAAUACCACCAGCUUCUGGAAAAGCUUUGAAAACCCCUUCAGUACGUGGCUCUGCGUAUUUUAACAGGAGAAUUCCACCUGAAAUCACCUUGAAAGGGAUUUCUGCUUGUAUGGAGAAGAUUGUGACUUAGCUUCAACACUGAAAAUGCUUGUAAUAAGACAUGUCUUGCUGUGAUAUGUCCUGUUACAAACACUAACAGGGUCCCUUAGGGUCACUGGAGCAACAAACCUGAUGGAUGACAAUGAUUGCAAAAUCAAAUUUGUCACUAGAAUUCUAACCGAGAGUAAGAAAGUGGGGCUUAAAAUGCUUUCUUUUCAACAGAUGCAAAGUGAUCUAAAGAUAUUUUUUAAGUUACUGGAACAGUCAGGUAAACGAACACUUGCUAAUUUGUCUUGCUAAAUCUAACAUUCUUCCAAUUAUUUGAGUAGCAGCUAAAUACAUCUAUAUUUCCUGCAAAAAUAGUACAUAAAAAAAUGAGGAAAAGAAGGGCAGUAUUGUUUCAGAAAUCAGAAAAGAUUGUGGCCUCUGUCUCCUCACAGGAAGGGUUCAGACCUGCACCUUCUGCACCUCAGAGGUGUAGCCUUGUAGCUGUGAGGCAGGAGCCUGUUUGGACAGGAGGAUCUGUACCUCCCCCGCUGAGGCCGUUCGACAAUUCAGGAAACAAUUAAAUAAAGACAGGAAGCCAAAAGAAGCCAUCUAGUGGGGAGGGUCGGGAAGGGGGGUUGGCUCGUUUUCGCCGUGCUCUAAGACAGGGCUGUCAAACUCAUUUUCACCGAGGGCCACGUCAGCCUCGCGAUUGCGUUCAAAGGGCCGAAUGUAGUUUUAAGACUGCUCUAAGACUACUUCCGUAUUUUUAUCCAGCGUCUGGCUGGUUACCCAAACACACCUUGAGGAUUAGCUAGAGCCCAGGUGUUACCUUGUCCUUCCUCAUGUUCACCCUGCCCUACGAACGAGUAGAGAUGACAAAUUCGUGUUCAUUCCUAGUAUUCCCUUCUCUGCCACCAUUAGAGCUUUGAUUCUUCAGCCAUAUCUCUUCCAGACACUUCACCGUUUCAAACAGUCCUAGGCAUACACAGAAGCAGAAGUUUAGCUGCCUGAGGUACUUCAUGGAUUAAAAAAAACCCCUCAUAGUUAUCUAUAGACUUUAGCUGCCUAAGGAAUCAGGCAAGGGAGACAGGGCUUGAGGAUCGUGUACUUGGACUUUGGUAUUUGUAUUGCACACAAGUCCAGCUGUGGGCACUUAAGCCUUUAGUGGAGCCAGCUCUCAACCUCUUUGCAAGUGUUCAUCCAUCUGUUAAUUGGCAAUAAUUUCCAGUUUUGUAAACCUCCAGAUACACAAAAAAAUAGACACAAAGUGUUUUUAACAAGCAACCAAUAUUUUAGGGGCAGUCUAUGAAGGUCUUACCUUCAAGUUUGCAGAUAAUUCUUGUCCUUUUAAGGGCUUAUAGGUUGGUGCUGAGAACUUAAAAACACAGUAGGAAAUAGCCAGUAUAGUUAGAAAUUAGAAGAUAACCUUGACUACUAAAGCAGAAAAUUAUUAAUGUAUUUUAAACUGAAAGAAACGCAUGUUAUUCUGACACACAUGCUUGCAUGCUGGGUAACUUGCACUCAUGAGAUCCCCUGAAAACAAGUCUCCCAAGACCACCUAAUGUCAGACCCAUAACAAACAGAAAGUCUGCAGCAAAACUGGAGACACUGUGGGGAUAGCAAGAAGAAGCUAUAAGGAAACAGGCUGAACUUUUCUGUUUUGUUUUGCGUUUUUUUUUUUUACCUGUGUGCACACCUGCAAAUGUACAAACCACCCUGGGAAGUGAGUUGUAGUGUUGUAUAAGAAUUUAAGGGCUAGCCAGGGUCUAUGCACGAAUUAGGAUAGCAAUGCUUAUCUGUUAUAACAAUGACUUUUAAAGAACUUACUUUAAGAAAGACUCUUAAAGAAAUUCCUUAAAUCAGCUAUGACUAUUUUUUUUAAUUGAUAAAUGGUUUAUGAAGCAGUGAAAGUAGGUUUCUUACUUCAAUUGCAGUAACACAGCUUUAAAGCCCAUAAAUCUUAGAGCCAUUGCACUACCCAUUGGAGUCACUUAAAGUUUUGCAAUUGACUUAGUCACUGGUUGCAGCAUUGUUUAAAAAAAAAAUUAAAAAGGGAAAAAUUUAACUAAUGGCAAAUUAUGAGUGAUUCUCUGGAUGACCUGACUUGUUCUUUCAUAAGUCUGUUUUGUCCAUUUGGAAAUAUAAAAUGCCACAAUGUGAUAUUUUAUUUCCCAGUGUAGAAAGGUGUUCUGUGAGGAUGAGGAACCAGGACCACGUUUCCCCAUAGGGGCUAUCCCACUUUAAUUUCAGCCACUUUUAGAGGACUUUGAGGCAUUAGAACAUAGAUAAUGAGCUGAAGAACUGUAAGGAUUUUUGUUUGUUUGUUUCUCAGAGUAAAGAAUUAAUUGAAAGAGGCUAAGACUGAAUUCAGCAUCAAAGCCGUAUGCCCCUUCUGCAAUAUGACAAAUAUGCAGAUGUCCAGACAUAAAAACAGUAUCAUCUCUAACAGAGAUCUUCGGUGACUCCACAGAAAGUAACAUUGUCAUAUGGUGGUUAGGUUCAGAACAAAGACCAGGAAGAAAAGUAGUCAGUGUUUAUACAUUUAAAAUCAGAGCUUAACGGUCUGUAAAUGAAUGACACUGGCUAGGGAACACAGGAGAGUUUGAGGAUAGUAGCAAAUAACACAUUAUUUUUCUUUGUGCUUUCUCCUUUGUCUCACUCAGUUUACAAUGAAAUUUAGCCACUGACUCCCACCACUGUUUUUCUUGGAGACCAGAGCAGGAUGAAGAAACACAGCAAUUAAGUGUAAAAGACACUCAUGCAGUGCAACAGGAGCUGGGUUCCAUGUGUUUGGUAACAUGAACUAUAGGAAAAAAUAAGAAGAGGUGACUCAGGUCUACCUAAACUUUAAAGACAAGCCAUUCUCAAUUCCUGUUAUCUCUGAUUCCUUCCCCACCUCUGCCCCAUGUACAAAAAUAGACCUUGUUAGUAAAACAGGAUUUUUUAAAGCUCUUUUAGUUCCAAUCAGUAAUGCUGCUGCCAUGACACUCACAUCAUUUAAAGUUUGUUAUGCUCCCAUGUGUUGAACACAUGGCUAGCAGCUCUUCCAGCCGUCAGGAUCCAUGUAAUCACAGCAAAGCAGUUAGCGUCAUAAAUAAAGCAAACAUGAACUGAUACUACAUAUUUCCUUCUCAUGGUGAAUUAGGAUGAUGAACUGGAAUUUGACACCAUUCUUCACCUAAGAGCAAAAAGCUUCGGUAUGGUAGACCUGGACCACGUAUGUACCUGCAAAAUAAUUCAUUUAACCUUUUAGUUGUCUCAUAUUUGGAAAUCUUGGCUUUGGACCCAGUCCUGUGCCAAUCAGCCAUAUUUGUGAUUCAUGGUGCCCUUCAUUAUGUUAAUUGCACCCUCUUCUUCUCCAUUCCUUGUUAGUUUUUAUUUGGUUUGAGUCUAAGCAGGUCAUUAUCAGGGGCUGAGCACUUUGAGUUUGUCAUCUUUCCUCAUGGUUGAAUUCUGCCUUUGGCUCUAGGCACCACAAACAAGUAUUCCUCAAGCACAUAGCAAUUCUGUAUUUUAAAGACAUAUUAUCUGAGAUAAUUCCUGAACAUGAUACUUACUUAUGAGUAUUGAAGGUAAUUGCGUGACUUCAAACAAAACUGAAUUUUUAACUGUGUGCAUAUGUAUACAUGUGGCAAUGGAUUCGAUAUGUUCUGGUUUUUGUUGCUGUUGUCUUUUCUUUAAGGCAUAUGAGAUUUCCAUACUUUUUGUGUCAGGACUGGUGGGAAUAUAACUCAAUCUAAUUGUCAGCUCCACUAGCCUGAAACCUUCGAUUCAGAUGUCUCAAAAUUGGGAGGUAUUCUUGGAUUUCCUCACAGCCUUGAUAGCUUCUGACUUGGAUGGAAAGGUACCUUAAAGUGCCUUUAGCUAUUAAAACGGUGAACACACUCACCUGCCUUAUGGGUCGUGUGAAACAGUACUUUCCUUGUACAUUUUAAUUUUUUUGUGUGGUCAUGGUAGCAUCUUCUGAAUCUGCCUACCUUCCCUUUCUCCUUCCAUAAAUCUGAGUCUUUGACUUCAACUGAAAAGUUAUAUCUUUGAACUCCUUGUCUUAGUGAUGCAGACAUUCCAGACUUGUCUGUGGUACUUGCAUAAAAAUUAAUUCACAGGACAAGUGUUGCAGCAUUACAAAUGAGGUAAGAGUUGGUUUGGUGAAUUCACCAGCAAAAAGGCCGGAAGAUUCCAAGUUUGUUUUGGUUUGGUGUUUUUUUACGGGCUUACUCUCAAGAAAUUUAAAUGUUUCAAAAACUAUGUUUUGUACAGCAUGAAAAUUAAAACAAAGUCUUUUCAACAGUUUCACCCAGCUAUUGGUUAGAGGCCUGAUUUGAGGGCAUGGACUCAAGUCUCCUCUUCAUUGUCAAAAAAACACUUUUCCUUAUUCUGCAACUCCUGACACCUGGAAAUAAAAGAGCUUGAAUUUUACUUUGUAGGCAACUAAGCCAAAAACUUAAUCAACUUGGUAGUCAUCUUUCUGCCUGUGUUCUUAGUUCAACCAAUGAAGAUAUGCUUCAUCAUAUUUUUUAUAAAAUAAGCUUCAGAUCAGCUUUAAUUACAAUCCUGUAACUGAUUCUCAAGACUCUGAUACCAUAUUCCCAGGAAUUCCUUCCAAGUUUCUUUGGUUUGCUCAUGUGUUGCUGAGCAGCUUAGUGGCAUGGUUUUGUUAGGUGAAUGCAAAUGUGCCAAUAAAAAGAAGCAUAUCACUAUAUCCCCUCCUAAAUAAUUCACUAAGCCUUUUUGUAUUCCUUUCUUCUUUGAGUUGAUAGUUUUAUAUUCUUUACUACUGAGUUUAUUAUGACUAUAUUAUCUUUUAAAUAGUGUUAGUAUGUGAAUAUGUGUCUAUAUAUAUAUGCACCCCCAGAGUAAGUUUUGUGUCACAGAUCAAAUACUAUAAUUCACUCAGUUACACAGUGCUUUUUUUAAGCUAAGGUCAUAAAUAGUUCUUUACCAGACAAAAGCAAUGUUGCAUGGCAAUACACUUUAUUUUGUAUGGCUUCUUUCAAGCGCAUUGUGUUUCAAAUAUGUUAGAGGUAAUUAAAACACUCACAGAUUUUAAAAUAAUCUUAAAAGGUUUUAAUUUAAUGAAAAUUCUAAACAAUAGCAGUAUCCAUGCUCCUUAAUUUACAUGCAUCAUAAAUGUAAAAGGGUGAUUACACCUAUAAGAGCUGAGCAGAUAUUUACAUUCUCGUAAAUACUGGUUUGGUGGAGUAAGCUCCUAAUGAGGAGGAUACUUGGUAAUUUUAUUAAUUGAUUCUGAAAGGUUAGAACAGUGAUGAUUCUUUAUUAAAAAACUAUGUAUAUAUGUUUGGACUGUUGUUGGAGUAGUAGGAAAGACAACUUUUUUUUUUUUAAUUAUUAUGGAAUUACCAACCCCAGUACAGAAAUGCAGCUCUACUAUGAAACCAAAAUUAGAGUAAGUUAUCUCAUUAUCACGGUGUAAUAGCUAUAUUUCAUUAGAAUUUCACAAUAGUGCUCUUUAGUCUUCCCGGUGAAACACUCAAGCUGGCUGAUGGGCUCAGCAGAUGGCUGCUCACCACCAUGCGCUUCAUUUCUUCCAGCAGACAGUUCCUGUAAGAUGCAUCACUGCAUUGUGCAGUGUAAAGGCUGGGGGUUUUUUUGCUUGCCUUUAAAGACAAAAACAUCUCUAAAUAGUGUAAUUUUUCCUUUGCCUGCUCUGUGGAGAUCGAUCAUAGGCAGAAGGGCAGCUCCUCAGGCCCCAGCAGGCCCCAGGCAACCACCAGGACUGUCAGCUCUGGUCAGAUGGAGGUGCUGGAUUACCACAUACCCAUGCAGGGGGUGCAGAGAGCGAAAGUGCUUCAAGAAAUCAGAUGUGGGACUCCUGAUAGUGUUAAGCAAGCAACACUUUGCUUCUCCCUUCUAAAGCCCCCCAUUGACUGCACACACAGCCUUUUAUUAGGUGCUGGUCCUUACUAAUACCUUAAAAUAUGAAAAAAAGAAUGCCUUCAUGGUUGCUUUGUUUUGUGAUUAAAAUGGAUUUUAUUUGAGCUAAUGAGGACAGAAUGUAGUUCAGAUUACUUCAGAAGUAUUGAUAAGACAGCUGGCUAUCUGAAGAAACAGAAGUUUCUUACAAAGGGAAAUCAAACCUCUGACCAACUGGAAACCUUGUGGCUGGUGGUGGGGUGGAAGGAAUCACCAUUUCACAUCCUCUGGGCCACUGGGCAUCAGUGGGCUCUGAUUUCAAAUUCAAGCCAUGAUAUAUAGUUUUUUUUCUGGUUUUGGAGACAACCAACUCUCUCAACAACUCUGAGACUCCCAAUACCUGUGUGAAGACUAAGCAGGAGUGCAGAUAAAAAGAUUAAUCUUAAGAAGCAGAGAACACAAGUUCUCCCAUGAGCAGCUGGGUUACUCCCAUCCCAUUCAAGGCACUAGAAGUUGAAGGAGCUCUGUGAUUCACAGAAACUCUUCAAUUUCGUGUCACAUGUGAGUAUAAACUUCACUGUCAUUACACUACUUAGUUUGCUUUUCCGGGAUUUUUUUUUAAAGAGGAAAUAUGAUGAAAGACGUGAUAGUUUGGCCUAGAACAUUAGAGAGUUUUGCAAUCUACCCAUAAAUGACGUGAGAGGACUGACUCUGCACACACGAUUUAUUACAAAGUACUGGGAUGGAAAAAGCAAAUGCCAUACAGAGUCAUAUUUGUGCCAUCCUGUUAACUUUAAUCCUGCGUAGUUAGGACCUUUAGUUUCUGUUAGUUUAUUUUAUUUAUUUAUUUAUUUCCCCCCCGCCAAGCGGUUGUCAUUAUUUUACUGUCUUUCUGUAGGACAGGGAAGGAAAUUAGGAAAUUACCUUUUUAUUUUUUAUUUUUCCCUCUCCAUAAAUGUGAAGUUCAAAAGUGUAAGCUAAUGCUGUUUUCCAUAAUUCCAAUGGCAAUGCACAUGGCUUGAAAUUUUUCUGUAAUUUUGUAUUCUCAUCUUUCAGAAAGGGACAGGCUCAGUUUGCUGCAAUAUAAAGUUCUUCAAUCUCCUAGAGGCAAAAAGGCAAUUUAAGCUUCCCGGAGCAACUUCAAAAGCAGUGAUAGCUACCAGUGUUAUGACAGCAUAAUAUUUGUUCUGAAGAUCUUAAACUGUAAUGACCUUUAUAUUCUGGAUUUAGAUUCAGAGGAUGUUGACACAACCUUAUUAACACAGAGAAAUGUCUCCAUCUUCACUUAUAAUAUCACAGAGAUAGAUAAUUUAAGGACAUUAUAAUACACCAAUGCUGCUGUUACUAAGAGAAAGAACAGCGGGGGAGAUGAAUUUCCACACAACAGUACCAUAGAUAAGGAAGAACAAUGUGCAAGUGAUCAGAAAAGCUGUGGACAUGGAAUGAUUAAAACUAACAGAAAAAUAUUCCAGUGGAUAGAGUCAAAAAGCAGUUCUUUAAUUUUUAAAUUUGCACAGCUAUAACUGAGACAAACGAGCCUCUGAAAUAUUUUGGAAAAUGUCACUUUGCAAACCUUGUAGAUUGCUUAAAUGUUUAUUAAAAUGGACCAAAAGCCAAAAUUCUCUGGGUAAAAUAAAUACUUUGUCUUUGCUAAGUAACAAUAUUUGUGAACAAAACAUAAAACUAUAAUUUUCAUGUGUCAAACAUAGUAACAUUUAAGAUUAAAUGUUGGAGUCAGACCGGGCAUUUUUUUACAUCUUCCUAUUUACAAGCUGCUCAUUAAGACCAUUUACCUCACGUUAGCUAUUAAAAUGACUAACAUUUUUAGAGUUUGCUCCAUGGCUAAAAUAAAAACAACAGAAAUGUCCUUUUACCGUAACUUAACAAAAAGCAGAACCAUAUUUUUGUUAUCUAGGAGAACAUACUGUUACAAAUACAGCUGCUUUUCAUCUACAAUUAUAUAAAUAAUAAACAUGCUGCCAUUCACAAGGAUUUUAAUAGAUGAUUAUAUAUAAGCAAUAUUACGAUCUAGCAGAGGAUGGCAUGAGUUUUCAUCAUUCAUUUUUAUUGUACUUAUUCAGGACUCUUCUCUUCAUCUGAAAAAUGUGGAACAGACUUCUUUGCUACAACAUUAUCCAGUCGCUGUCCUUGCAGAUACGGGUUCACACUCUGAAAUUAAAGUUUAAAAUUAUUCAUGCUUAUUAGAAAGAGGGAAACAUAAAAGGUAAGUAGGAUUUAGGAUGAGUGUAUAUAUUUGUAUAUUUUCUAUUUGUCAAAUACUUGCAGACUCAAAAAAAGAAAAAAAAAGUGAAGGAAGACUAUUGAGAAUAUAGGACAGGCUGAAUUAAACACUGCCUUUUUGCUGUGCUCCUCCUUUCCUCAGCUCAGCAGAGAAGCAGCAGCACAUCUAACUCCCUAAUUCUGGAGGAAGGACAGAACUUUCUUGAGAAGUACAGGUAAGCUUUAGCUUAAAUCACUAGCCUCUGAUGGAUCUUGUGCUGGGAGACAAGUUAGAUACUGCGAUACCAGUUUUGACCAAAGUCUCUUCUUCAAGCCCAUCUCCUCUCCAGGAAACCCCUCCUCUUUCCCUCUUGUGAUGCUAAGAUAAAAAACUGCUGGCACAGCAGCAGAGCCAAGCAAGUUUUGGCGUAGGCAAGGGCUCUCCUACCACUGCCAGAACAAGGGAAUGCUGGAAAGAAGAUCCCCAGAGAUGCUUUAACUUCACUUUGCGCCAUGUAAGCAGCACAACGUGAGACUGAAGAUGAACAGAUCCCGUCUCAAAACUGUUUGGAGAUCACAGUAAUGUAGGCAGCCUAUGCUUGAUUUUCAUCUAUACCCAUGGAAUGAAUUGUAUUUACUGUAUUUGCAAUUAUCAAGCAGUAUAGAAGAGCUUCAGAAUUCACUUAAAUAUUGUUAACACCCACUUUCUGGCCUGUUACAGUGUCAGUGUAAACAAAAUUCAAGUAUAUACUUUUUCCUUCACAGAUACAGACAAAAAUUCUAGUGUGCUGGUUUUUGAUGCCAAUAAAAAUUGUUUGCCUAAGGACAAACUUCAGAGGCAUGCAAAUUUUCCAGUAUCUUCUGAUUCUUGUCAGCCUGACUGUAUCAUAUAAAUUACUUUCGUGAGAUGUUUCUGCGCUUUUUUUCACCAAAAUAUAGAAGUUCAAAACUAUCAAAAACCAAAACCAACCAAUCAAACUUUUAAAUAGGGCAUGAAAUAUCUGUUUUCAAAUACCCCAAAUAUUUGUCAAAUCUCCGGAAAAGAUUUGGGGUUUGUCUGUCUUCAAGUUUAAGAACUUGGGUUUCUCCAGAUUUGUAGACACUAUCAUUAAUACUUAAUCAUAAUGAAGAGCAGCCCUUUUGCUUUCUUCUAUUUCUUUUUUUUAAGUGCUUUGUCUGCCACAAGUGAAAACAUAAAAAUAUUAAGAACCAGAAAUGAGUGUAGAAAAACCUUUGAAAAUAAAACUAACACUAAUUUAAUGCGUUAAAUUGUUAAAAAUAAGACACAUGUAAAUGAUUUGUUCAUGUUUGUUUAAAGAAGUUCUGUUUAAUGUUAAUUUAGUGAAAUUCGGCUGUUACAUAAACUUCUAGGAAUUAUUUGAAGAUUCUUAGGAAGAUGGAUUGGUCUUUUUUUUGGAAUGGUAUUUGCUUGCUACUUUUUGAAAUAAAGUAGAUGAGAAUGAGAAUACAUAAAAUAUUGAAUCCUUCUCAACUGACAAAAGAAAACACAAAGCAUAAUGCAAAAAUGUUUGGCCAAUUUGACCAAAAAAUGUUUAAUCCUAUACAGCUGUGCUGAAUUCAAAGUAAUGUGGUUCCUGGGUACCUUUGUGCACAGCCCUGAGCCCAAGGCAACGUGACUCGGUGGUUACAGAAGCACUCCUGUCACAUUGGGGAUAUGAGAUUCUGGACUGGGCUAUGCUCAUGCAUAGAAAUUAGAAAAAGGGAGAACCACUAGUUAAAUUGGAGGUCACUGGAGAAUUCUUUGUCUUGCACUGCAAAAGCUGCAGAAAAAUAACACAGUAGCAGAUGGUAAAUACAUACUUUUGUUAUAUAUACUGAUUAUGUGUAGUGUGCUUGUAUGUGUGUUUAUAAGCAUACCUACAAAUAUAUGAAUACAUGCACAUAGAAUACAUAGUUUUAUAGACUCCAGUAGUGCCUCUGUGACGUACACUAUGGCAUCAUACAGACACAACACAGCUACUAUGUGCACAGUUAUAUAGGACUUGCCUUAACCUAAAAUAGGGACAUUCUGACCCAAAAGACCAAUCCGUUUCCAGAAGGUGUUCUCCCCACACUCUCGGUCUGUGCAGAAGGGCAUGGAGGAGCGGCAGGGACCACAGAAAGCAGAAUGGGAACCCAGUGGGCUUUUUGGUUUCUGAAAAAAUAACCUCUGUUGCUGACAGCUCUAGGUUACCCUUCUGCUGAUAAAAAUUCUGAAUUGUUCGUUAAAGCGUUAAUACUCGUUAAAAUAUUACUAUCAAAACAAUAAAAUAUUUGAAAUGAUAAUGAAUUUACCGUUAAGUGAGAUGCCUGUGCUAAGAAAAUAAAUCUACUGCAAAGAAAGAAACUGAAUCUUCACCUCCAAAAUUCUGGGCUACCUGUGGCCGUGUGGCUGUUGUGUCUCUCCGGCCAUUAUUCCUUUUGUAUCUGAUUAUGUCAGCAAACAGACAGAAAGUGUUUUGUUUUUCUUCAUGUAUACAUUGCACUAAUUCUACUUUAACAUGCUGUUCUAGCUAUUAAUAAAUAUUCCACAUAACUAUU